UACGUAGGGUGCUAGCGUUGUCCGGAUUUAUUGGGCGUAAAGGGCUCGUAGGCGGCGUGUCGCGUCGGGAGUGAAAGCCCGCUGCUUAACGGCGGGUUGGCUUCCGGUACGGGCAGACUAGAGUGUGGUAGGGGAGACUGGAAUUCCUGGUGUAGCGGUGAAAUGCGCAGAUAUCAGGAGGAACACCGAGUGGCGAAGGCAGGUCUCUGGGCCUACUGACUGACGCUGAGAAGCGAAAGCAUGGGGAGCAAACAGG
rnacentral:rRNA from 1 species